rnacentral:lncRNA from 1 species
AUAAAGUUGUUUGAAGCGUCUAUGAUAAACAGAGAGCAAAUUAGAAUGCAAGGAAGUUGACAUGUCAUCACUUCAUUUUUUUGCGCCUGCGCAUAAAUCUGAGAAGCGUGAGUUUGUCAUCAUUGUUUAUCUAGACAUAGGAUAGGUUGUGUGAAAAUAUUACUGAUGUUUAGCGUUAAAAAUGGACCAAAAGAUUAAUGCUAAGCACCGUUUGACAUGUUUGAACGAACGUAAAUAGAUUAUUUACUAGUUUUUUUUAGCUUUUCGGCGUGAUUUUACACCCCCCCCACCACGUUUUGUGGGAGCAUAAUGAACGCUAACUACUUGUUGUUAUUUGGACAUAAAUUAUGAACUUUGUCAAAAGAAACCACAUUUGUUCCGGACCUGGGAUCCCUGGCAGUGCCUUCUGAUGGAGAUAAUCAAAGUUGAUGGAGAAGUUGGGACCAUUGUUCUCGGGAGUCACACAAUUCGUAGAGAAUAACAUCAGGAUCUGCUUAUCAUCCAACGACUGUUUUGUCAAGAUGCACCUUGUUCCCCGAGAAGGUGUCAGUUAUCCCAUCUACUCGACAGGGGGAGCCACAGUCCAUAUGGACUCAUUGGUGAUGAUGGUGGAAGACCCAUCAAGAUGAUGCGCAUGUGUGCUCAGCCCUCCUACCUGAUCUACUCCAGACCCAGCAUCGCUCCUCGUUUUGCCGACCCUCCACGUAUCUGUUAUGUGAAGUACCCUGUGCCUACCUACAUAUGCUUAUGAUGAUUUUAAAGAUUGCCGAAUACCCAAGUGUAACGGCGUUCGUCGGAAGAAGGGGACCAAAGCGCAGCGUGGUAUGUGUUCAUGAUUUUUAUUAUCAAAAACACUCAAACAAAAAUAACAAAACAAAAAGCCAACAGUUCCGUCAGGUACACUAUACAAAACAGAAAACAACUACCCACAAACACAGGUGGGAAAAAGGCUGCCUAAGUAUGAUUCCCAAUCAGAGACGAUAGACAGCUGCCUCUGAUUGGAAACCAUACUCGGCCAAAACAAAGAAAUAGAUAGCAUAGAAUGCCCACCCCACAUCACACCCUGACCUAACCACACAGAGAAAAACGGAUCUCUCAGGUCAGGGCGUGACACCAAGUGUCCACCGACUCCUCCCCAAACUAUAACCAUUAACACCGUCACAAACUAGUUAGGGCUGUCUGUAUCCAUAUCUACUGAAUAACAUGGAGUGUAUCAAACUAGUUAGGGCUGUCUGUAUCCAUAUCUACUGAAUAACAUGGAGUGUAUCAAACUAGUUAGGGCUGUCUGUAUCCAUAUCUACUGAAUAACAUGGAUGUAUCAAACUAGUUAGGGCUGUCUGUAUCCAUAUCUACGGAAUAACAUGGAGUGUAUCAAACUAGUUAGGGCUGUCUGUGUCCAUAUCUACUGAAUAACAUGGAGUGUAUCAAACUAGUUAGGGCUGUCUGUAUCCAUAUCUACUGAAUAACAUGGAGUGUAUCAAACUAGUUAGGGCUGUCUGUAUCCAUA